rfam:Gossypium arboreum cultivar AKA8401 contig_39654_1, whole genome shotgun sequence.
CAAUUAGAUUUUUUUUUAUUUCUACUGUUAAAAAUUAAUGUGGCUUACGAAAUAAUAUGACAAUUACACAUCAUGUACCACGUGUACCUCAUGUUGACAUACAUUGACUAAUUUUUAAUAAUAGAAAUUGAUAAAAUUUUAAUAG